UAAGAAAAAAACAAUUGGACUCAUAUAAUCGUGGGAAUAUGGCCCAUAAGUUUCUACCGGAUGACCACAGCAAUUGUCCGACUAUGAGUGAACAGCGCGACCCG
rnacentral:ncRNA from 2 species